GAAGUAGUUCUGAGCUAAAUAUAAUUGCAAUGUUGGUUGCUUAAAUCUGGUGUGGCAAAACCUUACCCCAAAAUGUAUUUAGGGGUGAUAGGCCUCUCAAAAACUAAGAUAUCUUGAUUUCAAUUAAAUGUAUUUAGUACAAUCUAUACAUUUAUUAAGUGGUUAGGCUUAGUAAUAAUAUAAAUUUAUAUGUACUAUCAUUAUUACGUUAUAAUAUAUAAAUAUAUGCAAAAUAAUAUCAUUCUUCUUUUGAAGCUUAUAUAUAGUAAUUGAAUAUGGUUAAGCUAAUAUAUCUCUUAAUAAUGUUAGUAUUAGUAUACAUGUAAGUUUUUUGUAAGGAACUCGGCAAGCUACUUCUCAACUGUUUAUCAAAAACAUAACUAUAUGGAUUCAUAUAUAGCGUUAUCUGCUCAAUGAUUGGUUAAAUAGCCGCAGUAUACUGACUGUGCUAAGGUAGCAUAAUCAAUUGGCUUAUAAUUGAAGUCUGGAAUGAAGGAAAGUAUGGGGAGUUACUGUCUCACAUUGAUACGGAGAAUUUUUUUAUGAAGUGAAAAUCCUUCUCUUUAUAUAAUAGACGAGAAGACCCUAGAAAUUUUUAGUAAUAUUGGAGUAUUAUUUUCAGUAAUUUUUUCGCUGGGGCGGCGGAGUAGCAUGAAACCUACUUAUACAGACCUGUGCCUUGUAUGGCAAUUGAUUAAUUUACUCUAGGGAUAACAGCAUAAUAUUUUAAAGUUUGUGACCUCGAUGUUGGACUAGGAUAUAAUAGCCUAAAAGGUUUUUUAUAGUGCUCUGUUCGAGCAAAGACUCCUACAUGAUC
rnacentral:rRNA from 1 species